rnacentral:snRNA from 14 species
CACUUUGGAGGGGUGCCUGCCUAAGGUCGACCCAAGUGGUCGAGUCUACGUCAUAAUUUGUGGUAGUGGGGGCCUGUGUUCGCGCGGCCCCUAC